rnacentral:lncRNA from 1 species
CCAGCAAGAGGGCAAGGGCGGCCGGAACGAGGCGCGGAUCCUGAGCCGGCUUCUAGCUUUGGGGACUCGGGUUUGCCUUUAAGAGGGAGUGUUCAAGACGGAAAGUCAGGGUUGCCCUGAAACUUCGGAGCUCCUUCCGUUCUCUGGCGACCGGGAACUUCUUUGAUGGAAAGUGCCGCCAGGGAAACGAUCACUUACAGCAAAAUAAGUUGGCCAAUUCUUAGUGAAGAUUCCAGAAGGACACCUAUAUCUACAUUCAGGGUACAGACGAGAGAAAGGUCUCAAAUUUCAAAAAUGGCUAAGGAUUGUGCAAGUCCAAGAAGAGCCAUCUGUAAGGAACAUGUUUUCCAAAUGACUCCCUGAUAAAUUCCCGGUCUACAAAGAUGAAACGUUCAAUGCAUUUUAUGUUCGGCGUUGAUGGGCCUGACUGGUGCAAUUUCAGUUUGCAUUCAAGAAGUUGCAUGUCUCUGCAUGGGAAAGAGUGGAGACAGAAGACCUCCAGCCUCCUGGACUGUCCUUUAUUUACUCUAGCUUGGGCCAAACUUCCUUUGUCCUUGCAGUGCUUUUCUUAGGGUUGCUAAUGUCAUGUCCUUCCUUCUCAAACUUCUUUUCUUGUCUCUCCAAGGAGGAGACAUAUUGCCUUUGUUCUCCUGUACCUCUUUAUACUUAUUCUCCAUCAGAUAUAAUACAUUUAUGGUCUUUCUGAUGUUAACAGGGCUCAAAAUAAAUAUUGCUCAAAGUAUUACGUAAGUGUAACA